rnacentral:rRNA from 1 species
GGUUCGAAAGGUCUCACGCGAGACGGGUAGCCGGCCUGAGAGGGCGACCGGCCACACUGGGACUGAGACACGGCCCAGACUCCUACGGGAGGCAGCAGUGGGGAAUAUUGCACAAUGGGCGAAAGCCUGAUGCAGCGACGCCGCGUGAGGGAUGACGGCCUUCGGGUUGUAAACCUCUUUCAGCAGGGAAGAAGCGAAAGUGACGGUACCUGCAGAAGAAGCGCCGGCUAACUACGUGCCAGCAGCCGCGGUAAUACGUAGGGCGCAAGCGUUGUCCGGAAUUAUUGGGCGUAAAGAGCUCGUAGGCGGCUUGUCACGUCGGAUGUGAAAGCCCGGGGCUUAACCCCGGGUCUGCAUUCGAUACGGGCUAGCUAGAGUGUGGUAGGGGAGAUCGGAAUUCCUGGUGUAGCGGUGAAAUGCGCAGAUAUCAGGAGGAACACCGGUGGCGAAGGCGGAUCUCUGGGCCAUUACUGACGCUGAGGAGCGAAAGCGUGGGGAGCGAACAGGAUUAGAUACCCUGGUAGUCCACGCCGUAAACGUUGGGAACUAGGUGUUGGCGACAUUCCACGUCGUCGGUGCCGCAGCUAACGCAUUAAGUUCCCCGCCUGGGGGAGUACGGA